GCCAGCGUACUCUCUGGAGUGGACGGUACACUGUGGGACCGCCGCUGCUAAAGCGGAGGAAGGAAUGGGCAACGGUAGGUCAGUAUGCCCGAAUAUCCCGGGCUACACGCGAGCUACAAUGGUUGGUACAAUGGGUAUCUACCCGAAAGGGGACGGGAAUCUCCUAAAACCAAUCUUAGUUCGGAUUGAGGGCUGCAACUCGCCCUCAUGAAGCUGGAAUCCGUAGUAAUCGCGUUUCAACAGAACGCGGUGAAUACGUCCCUGCUCCUU
rnacentral:rRNA from 1 species